rnacentral:rRNA from 1 species
CCUACGGGUGGCUGCAGUGAGGAAUAUUGGUCAAUGGACGGAAGUCUGAACCAGCCAUGCCGCGUGCAGGAAGACGGCUCUCUGAGUUGUAAACUGCUUUUGUACAAGGGUAAACCUGAAUACGUGUAUUCAGAUGAAAGUCCUGUAAGAAUAAGGAUCGGCUAACUCCGUGCCAGCAGCCGCGGUAAUACGGAGGAUCCAAGCGUUAUCCGGAUUUCUUGGGGUUAACGGGUGCGUAGGCGGAUUGAUAAGUUAGAGGUGAAAUGUCCGAGCUUAACUCGGGAACUGCCUCUAAUACUGUUUGGCUAGAGAGUAGGUGCGGUAGGCGGAAUGUAUGGUGUAGCGGUGAAAUGCUUAGAGAUCAUACAGAACACCGAUUGCGAAGGCAGCGUACCAAUCUAUAUCUGACGUUGAGGCACGAAAGCGUGGGGAGCAAACAGGAUUAGAUACCCCUGUAGUC